AUUGAUUGAUGGUGCUUGCACCUGAUUGAUUUUGGUCGCCAACGAGUGGCGGACGGGUGAGUAACACGUAGGUAACCUGCCCAGAAGCGGGGGACAACAUUUGGAAACAGAUGCUAAUACCGCAUAACAACGUUGUUCGCAUGAACAACGCUUAAAAGAUGGCUUCUCGCUAUCACUUCUGGAUGGACCUGCGGUGCAUUAGCUUGUUGGUGGGGUAACGGCCUACCAAGGCGAUGAUGCAUAGCCGAGUUGAGAGACUGAUCGGCCACAAUGGGACUGAGACACGGCCCAUACUCCUACGGGAGGCAGCAGUAGGGAAUCUUCCACAAUGGGCGCAAGCCUGAUGGAGCAACACCGCGUGAGUGAAGAAGGGUUUCGGCUCGUAAAGCUCUGUUGUUAAAGAAGAACACGUAUGAGAGUAACUGUUCAUACGUUGACGGUAUUUAACCAGAAAGUCACGGCUAACUACGUGCCAGCAGCCGCGGUAAUACGUAGGUGGCAAGCGUUAUCCGGAUUUAUUGGGCGUAAAGAGAGUGCAGGCGGUUUUCUAAGUCUGAUGUGAAAGCCUUCGGCUUAACCGGAGAAGUGCAUCGGAAACUGGAUAACUUGAGUGCAGAAGAGGGUAGUGGAACUCCAUGUGUAGCGGUGGAAUGCGUAGAUAUAUGGAAGAACACCAGUGGCGAAGGCGGCUACCUGGUCUGCAACUGACGCUGAGACUCGAAAGCAUGGGUAGCGAACAGGAUUAGAUACCCUGGUAGUCCC
rnacentral:rRNA from 1 species